rnacentral:lncRNA from 1 species
UAGAAGAGUUUAGGCUCUGAUACCACUUGUUGCCCAGAUAGACAACCCAAGAGGGGGGGUGAAUUGGGUUUUAAAAUAAUUUUACAAUUAAAAUGUUGUGGAUGACUAAUUAAUGCUUUACCCAGAUGAUUAAUUAAUUGCUAUGUGCUGUGAAUGAAAUGAGAGUAAAAGAAAGAGACAAACAAUCACAAACACAAGGCUUUUAUAGUGGUUCGGAGCUAACCCUUGCUCCUACGUCCACUCCUUAAGUCUCACUUGGGAAUUCACUAUAACCCCUUGGAUUACAGCUGGUUGUUUUACAAGCUCACAACCAAACUUGUUGUUUUACGAGCUCACAACGAACUCGGUCGGUUUUCCCUGGCUCACCGACUAGAACCACCCCGAUUAUUUUUCCGGGAUCACAAUCGAACCCUUACACGUUGGUUUUACACUCGGCUCACCAACCAACCUCUACACCCUUGAUUCAAUCCUCCGAUUGAAC